rnacentral:misc_RNA from 1 species
CGGGGUCUCUCUCAUGGGUCGUCUUCUUCUAAUCCAACAUCUGAUGGGGAAAUGCCAAACUUAGAGAGCUCGUUUAAAACUGCUUGAAUCCGAGGAUCGCUGGGCUCUGUCUGAUGUGACCCUAAUCCAGCAUAUUCUUUCGCUACAACCUUCGUCUUCCUUGAUGAGAGGAAAGCAGUCUCCAAAUCUGACUGUGAUAGUGGCCUCGGAGAACUAGACUGUUUUCCAGUCUUUUCUUGAUCCAAUAGAUCCCUGAUUGGGUAAUAUGCAGCUUUCUUGCAGAGCUCGAGAAGAUCUGAACCAGUAUACCCCUCGCAUAAGCUAGCUAUGUGAUGAUAGUCAAUGUUGUCUUCGACCCUCUCACCCUUCAGAAUCACCUUUAGUAUCUCGACCCUCUCCCUUUUGUUGGGUAUCCCAAUUUCAAAAGCCUGAGGGAGUCUUCUUAGAAUUGCUUCAUCAAGUUCUGAUGGACGAUUGGUAGCAGCAAGGACCAUAACACGUGCGUUCUGAUCUGUAGUAAAUCCAUCCCAUAAGGCCAUGAACUCAGUUUUCAUGUUUGAUAAAGCUUCAUGAUCACUAG